UACGGAGGGUGCAAGCGUUAUCCGGAUUCACUGGGUUUAAAGGGUGCGUAGGGGGGCAGGUAAGUCAGUGGUGAAAUCCUUGAGCUUAACUCGAGAACUGCCAUUGAUACUAUCUGUCUUGAAUAUUGUGGAGGUAAGCGGAAUAUGUCAUGUAGCGGUGAAAUGCAUAGAUAUGUUAUAGAACACCGAUUGCGAAGGCAGCUGACUAAGCAUAUAUUGACGCUGAGGCACGAAAGCGUGGGGAUCAAACAGG
rnacentral:rRNA from 1 species